ACUUACUCCUCUAUGAUAGUGUUAUCCCAGUGCUCAGACACUGGGAUCCAGGAAUUUUGAUUGUGGAUAAGCAUAUCAAAUGGUUUGGUAUAAUAGAAGUCGGAUUCCAGUGUCAGCUACUUUCAUAACACCUUAUGGUUGUU
rnacentral:ncRNA from 1 species